rnacentral:lncRNA from 1 species
AUCUCCGAGGGUUGGGGAGGGGGGAGUCCUGCCUCUCUCCUCACUUCCGCCUUUCAGGGUGGCGGGUAGGCUGCCGGUCUUCAAGGUCUUGGGAAGGUUCGUUGGGCCAACAGCUGAGACCCGAAAGCUUCAACAGUCAGUCGGUGAAAUCCAGUUUGGACUCUGGGACUUACUCCCUUAAACCUUUGUUAAAAGCUUACUCCCUUUAGCCUUUCGGUGGCACAGUAAGGACAAUUGUCUUAAUGUUUCUGAGCAUCUUAGACUUUAUACUAAACCCUAAAAUUUUGAUAGCUACCUUCCAGGAGGCAUGAUGAAAGGAAGACUUUUUAAAUUUUAUGAGCCGCUUGAGCUUUCUUAUUCGGACAGCGGCAGCUUAGUCUACAGGGACUACUUUGUCCUUUUAGUAUUUUUUUUUUAACUAAUAUAAACCAGUUUAAAAUUGUUUUGGAAUAGGUAGCAUUUAACCCACCCAAAAA